UACCUGGUUGAUCCUGCCAGUAGUCAUACGCUUGUCUUAAAGAUUAAGGCAUGCAUGUCUAAGUGCGGUGUACAUUAACACACUAGACUGCGGACGGCUCAUUAUAACAGUUAUAGUUUAUUUGAUGGUUCAUUUUACGUGGAUAACCGUGGUAAUUCUAGAGCUAAUACAUGCCAAAGUCGUUGCCGUUUACGUGUGACGAGCAUUUAUUAGAUACCAAAUCAAUCGGCUCUGCCGCUUUUGAGGACUCAUAAUAACUCAUGCAGAUCGCGCUUUGCGUGGCGUAUCAUUCAAGUUUCUGACCUAUCAGUUAGUCGGUAGUGUAUUGGACUACUGAGGCAUUGACGGGUAACGGAGAAUUAGGGUUCGGUUCCGGAGAGGGAGCCUGAGAAACGGCUACCACAUCUAAGGAAGGCAGCAGCUGCGUAAAUUACCCAAUCCUGACUCAGGGAGGUAGUGACAAGAAAUCACAAUAUCUGGUCCUCAUGGGUUAGAUAAUUGUAUUGAGAACAGGCUAAACAUGUUAUCGAUAAACUAUUGGAGGGCAAGUCUGGUGCCAGCAGCCGCGGUAAUUCCAGCUCCAAUAGC
rnacentral:rRNA from 1 species